rnacentral:lncRNA from 1 species
GCUAAAGAUAGUGGGCAGGAAGAGGUUGUGGAAAAAUUUCAGGGGUUUUGAAUCCCUUGAAAUUAAAUGCAAAAUGUGCCUAUAAAUUUGAGGAGGAGAAUAUUGAUAAAAUUUCAUCACAUUUUCAAAGACAUGCCUCCUGAAGGAUAAAACACCCUAACUCAGACUUUGGUGAUAAAUGCUGAAAUGUGUCCAGAAUCAUUUUCAAGAUCACACAGUUUCUAGAUAAAUGGCCAGAUGGGAGAAUUUUGCAAGUUUUGCCAUAUCUCAACAAAAUAAUUAUUACUGCUCCUGGAAAAGCUACAGCUGCGCAGUGAGGGGGAAUGGACCCAGCCUUUUUCCUGCACCCAAGAUUCCUGAACAGCCAGCUGGAAAUUCACUUAUGCCUCAGGAGACCACAGCUGCAUCUGAACACCAAGAUGAGGACCCACUAGAAGAUUCACAUCUUCAUUUGGAUAUUGAAGAAUUAAACAAGGAGUUUAUGUUGAGAAGUGAAGAACUCUAUGACUCCCUCAUGAAUUGUCACUGGCAGCCUCUGGAUACAGUCCACUCGGACAUCCCAGAUGAGACCCCAAAGUGAAGCAAGAAAAUGUCAAUUGGAACUAGAUGUUUGUUCUCCACUGACCCUGGGGUGCUCUGUAAGAAAGCUGGUGUGACGGUGGAAGACAGUGGAGAUGAACUUGUCUCAACUGAACAGAAAGAUUCCUAAGCAUGGAAAAAAAAAAUUGCCUUUUCCAGAUUGUUGAUUUUCUAAGAGGAAAGAAUUGGGCCUUUGUAAAAGCCAGUUCUGGAAAAUAAAUAAAAGUCAGUGCAGAAACUUCAGUGAGUCU